rnacentral:rRNA from 1 species
UACAGAGGUCCCGAGCGUUGUUCGGAUUCACUGGGCGUAAAGGGUGCGUAGGUGGUGAGGUAAGUCGGAUGUGAAAGCUCGGAGCUCAACUCCGAAAUGGCAUUGGAAACUACCUUGCUCGAGGGUUGGAGGGGGGACUGGAAUGCUUGGUGUAGCAGUGAAAUGCGUAGAUAUCAAGCGGAACACCAGUGGCGAAGGCGAGUCCCUGGACAACUCCUGACACUGAGGCACGAAAGCUAGGGGAGCAACCAGG